UAGGGAAUCUUCGGCAAUGGGGGGAACCCUGACCGAGCAACGCCGCGUGAGUGAUGAAGGUUUUCGGAUCGUACAGCUCUGUUGUCAAGGAAGAACGAGUGUGAGAACGGAAAGUUCAUGCUGUGACGGUACUUAACCUGAAAGGGCCGGCUAACUACGUGCCAGCAGCCGCGGUAAUACGUAGGUCCCGAGCGUUGUCCGGAUUUUUUGAGCGUAAAGCGAGCGCAGGCGGUUAGAAAAGUCUGAAGUGAAAGGCAGUGGCUCAACCGUUGUAGGCUUGUGGAACUGUUUAACUUGAGUGCAGGAGGAGUUAGUGGAAUUCCAGGUGGAGCGGUGAAAUGCGUAAAUAUAAUGAAGAACUCCGGUGGCGAAAGCGGCUCACUGGUAUGUAACUGACGAUGAGGCUCGAAAGCGUGGGGAGCGAACAGG
rnacentral:rRNA from 1 species